rfam:Glycine max cultivar Williams 82 chromosome 17, whole genome shotgun sequence.
GGGGAGCAUCUAGAAGGCAAGAUGUUGCCUGAUACAAUCUUCCUAUAGAGAAGAACUGUUGUUUCCUGCUUGCAGUGCUUCAGCAAGUACUGUAAGUCUCAAAUAGACAGUGACACAU